rnacentral:lncRNA from 1 species
AAAAUUCCUCCCAUGACCAAUUUGUGUUUCUCUCAUUUCCCCUCCCCUUUCAUCUUCGUCUUUAUUCUUUCCCAUUCCUUUCAUUGACCAAUGAAAUCUCAAUAUCCUAAGGCUAAUUGGUUCAUUAAUGACCUUGUGUCAGAUGAACCAAUACAAGUAUGAAUGAGAUAAGUCCAUCCCUUUUGAUAUUUUCUUUUAGUGUGUGGUAUGUUUUAGGAGUUUGGUUCAUUAUACCAAAUCUCUAACGUGCAUUAACACCCAAAUU